AGUCUGCAACCCGACUACAUGAAGCUGGAAUCGCUAGUAAUCGCGGAUCAGAAUGCCGCGGUGAAUACGUUCCCGGGUCUUGUACACACCGCCCGUCACACCAUGGGAGUCGGAAAUGCCCGAAGUCUGUGACCCAACCGGAAAGGAAGGAGCAGCCGAAGGCAGGUCCGAUGACUGGGGUGAAGUCGUAACAAGGUAGC
rnacentral:rRNA from 1 species